UCUUUUCAAUCAGAAAGUGGUAUAUCUUUAGUAGUGGGGAAUAAUCUGUCACCCAUGUGGAAGGAUAUACAAAAAUUCCUGAGAACAAAUGGGUCAUUCUCUAUCUUGAAUAACAUCUCCUCUGCUAUUGGGAAUGGAGAAAGUACGAAGUUUUGGUAUGAUAAAUUGUUAGGUGAGGUUCCUCUUAAAUUUCACUUUGGU
rnacentral:lncRNA from 1 species